rnacentral:rRNA from 1 species
GACGAACGCUGGCGGCGUGCUUAACACAUGCAAGUCGAACGGAAAGGCCCUGCUUUUGUGGGGUGCUCGAGUGGCGAACGGGUGAGUAACACGUGAGUAACCUGCCCUUGACUUUGGGAUAACUUCAGGAAACUGGGGCUAAUACCGGAUAGGAGCUCCUGCUGCAUGGUGGGGGUUGGAAAGUUUCGGCGGUUGGGGAUGGACUCGCGGCUUAUCAGCUUGUUGGUGAGGUAGUGGCUUACCAAGGCUUUGACGGGUAGCCGGCCUGAGAGGGUGACCGGCCACAUUGGGACUGAGAUACGGCCCAGACUCCUACGGGAGGCAGCAGUGGGGAAUAUUGCACAAUGGGCGGAAGCCUGAUGCAGCAACGCCGCGUGCGUGAUGACGGCCUUCGGGUUGUAAACCGCUUUCGCCUGUGACGAAGCGUGAGUGACGGUAAUGGGUAAAGAAGCACCGGCUAACUACGUG